rnacentral:rRNA from 1 species
GACGAACGCUGGCGGCGUGCUUAACACAUGCAAGUCGAGCGGUAAGGCCCUUUCGGGGGUACACGAGCGGCGAACGGGUGAGUAACACGUGGGUGACCUGCCCUCAGCUCUGGGAUAAGCCUGGGAAACUGGGUCUAAUACCGGAUAUGACUCCAUGACGCAUGUUGUGGGGUGGGAAGCCUUGUGCGGCUGAGGAUGGGCCCGCGGCCUAUCAGCUUGUUGGUGGGGUGANGGCCUACCAAGGCGACGACGGGUAGCCGGCCUGAGAGGGCGACCGGCCACACUGGGACUGAGACACGGCCCAGACUCCUACGGGAGGCAGCAGUGGGGAAUCUUGCGCAAUGGGCGAAAGCCUGACGCAGCGACGCCGCGUGAGGGAUGACGGCCUGGUU